GUGGCAUCGAUGAUGAAACAAUCUAUUUUGUUAUCCUUGCACUUUGAUUUACAGUGAAGAAAAUCAUGGGGAAUAUUGUUCCUGAGAUGCAU
rnacentral:snoRNA from 1 species